rnacentral:rRNA from 2 species
GGAGCAGCCCAGAGCCUGAAUCAGUGUGUGUGUUAGUGGAAGCGUCUGGAAAGGCGUGCGAUACAGGGUGACAGCCCCGUACACAAAAAUGCACAUACUGUGAGCUCGAUGAGUAGGGCGGGACACGUGGUAUCCUGUCUGAAUAUGGGGGGACCAUCCUCCAAGGCUAAAUACUCCUGACUGACCGAUAGUGAACCAGUACCGUGAGGGAAAGGCGAAAAGAACCCCGGCGAGGGGAGUGAAAAAGAACCUGAAACCGUGUACGUACAAGCAGUGGGAGCACGCUUAGGCGUGUGACUGCGUACCUUUUGUAUAAUGGGUCAGCGACUUAUAUUCUGUAGCAAGGUUAACCGAAUAGGGGAGCCGAAGGGAAACCGAGUCUUAACUGGGCGUUAAGUUGCAGGGUAUAGACCCGAAACCCGGUGAUCUAGCCAUGGGCAGGUUGAAGGUUGGGUAACACUAACUGGAGGACCGAACCGACUAAUGUUGAAAAAUUAGCGGAUGACUUGUGGCUGGGGGUGAAAGGCCAAUCAAACCGGGAGAUAGCUGGUUCUCCCCGAAAGCUAUUUAGGUAGCGCCUCGUGAAUUCAUCUCCGGGGGUAGAGCACUGUUUCGGCAAGGGGGUCAUCCCGACUUACCAACCCGAUGCAAACUGCGAAUACCGGAGAAUGUUAUCACGGGAGACACACGGCGGGUGCUAACGUCCGUCGUGAAGAGGGAAACAACCCAGACCGCCAGCUAAGGUCCCAAAGUCAUGGUUAAGUGGGAAACGAUGUGGGAAGGCCCAGACAGCCAGGAUGUUGGCUUAGAAGCAGCCAUCAUUUAAAGAAAGCGUAAUAGCUCACUGGUCGAGUCGGCCUGCGCGGAAGAUGUAACGGGGCUAAACCAUGCACCGAAGCUGCGGCAGCGACGCUUAUGCGUUGUUGGGUAGGGGAGCGUUCUGUAAGCCUGUGAAGGUGUGCUGUGAGGUAUGCUGGAGGUAUCAGAAGUGCGAAUGCUGACAUAAGUAACGAUAAAGCGGGUGAAAAGCCCGCUCGCCGGAAGACCAAGGGUUCCUGUCCAACGUUAAUCGGGGCAGGGUGAGUCGACCCCUAAGGCGAGGCCGAAAGGCGUAGUCGAUGGGAAACAGGUUAAUAUUCCUGUACUUGGUGUUACUGCGAAGGGGGGACGGAGAAGGCUAUGUUGGCCGGGCGACGGUUGUCCCGGUUUAAGCGUGUAGGCUGGUUUUCCAGGCAAAUCCGGAAAAUCAAGGCCGAGGCGUGAUGACGAGGCACUACGGUGCUGAAGCAACAAAUGCCCUGCUUCCAGGAAAAGCCUCUAAGCAUCAGGUAACAUCAAAUCGUACCCCAAACCGACACAGGUGGUCAGGUAGAGAAUACCAAGGCGCUUGAGAGAACUCGGGUGAAGGAACUAGGCAAAAUGGUGCCGUAACUUCGGGAGAAGGCACGCUGAUACGUAGGUGAAGCGACUUGCUCGUGGAGCUGAAAUCAGUCGAAGAUACCAGCUGGCUGCAACUGUUUAUUAAAAACACAGCACUGUGCAAACACGAAAGUGGACGUAUACGGUGUGACGCCUGCCCGGUGCCGGAAGGUUAAUUGAUGGGGUUAGCGCAAGCGAAGCUCUUGAUCGAAGCCCCGGUAAACGGCGGCCGUAACUAUAACGGUCCUAAGGUAGCGAAAUUCCUUGUCGGGUAAGUUCCGACCUGCACGAAUGGCGUAAUGAUGGCCAGGCUGUCUCCACCCGAGACUCAGUGAAAUUGAACUCGCUGUGAAGAUGCAGUGUACCCGCGGCAAGACGGAAAGACCCCGUGAACCUUUACUAUAGCUUGACACUGAACAUUGAGCCUUGAUGUGUAGGAUAGGUGGGAGGCUUUGA